AAACCAGAAGAGAAAUCUAGGGUAAGAAAUACGGCUGUUUGUCUUCCACGAAGGAAGAAUCCUUCUCCUCUAUCGCUCGCUUCAGCCGCCGACACCAACUUCUCUUCCAAUUUAAGUCGAACGCCGGUGUCCUCUAUCGCGGCCGUCCUGGGUGAUACCCUCUUUACCUUGCUCUCGAUUAUGUUUCUAUUCUUCUUUGAUCUCUCCAUACGGUCGCCACCAUUCGUCCACUGUAACACCAUCAAACUCGCCAUCUUCUUCCUUCAAAAACCGCCGCCCUCUUUUUACACUUCAUCAUCUUGCUUCGAAGCAGCUCCGACGGCUUUUUGA